rnacentral:misc_RNA from 1 species
GAAAUGCGAUAAGUAAUGUGAAUUGCAGAAUUCAGUGAAUCAUCGAAUCUUUGAACGCACAUUGCGCCCGCCAGUAUUCUGGCGGGCAUGCCUGUUCGAGCGUCAUUUAAACCAUCAAGCCCCCGGCUUGUGUUGGGGACCUGCGGCUGCCCGCAGGCCCUGAAAAACAGUGGCGGGCUCGCUGUCACACCGAGCGUAGUAGCAUACAUUCUCGCUCAGGGCGUGCUGCGGGUUCCGGCCGUUAAACGACCUUCAUAACCCAAGGUUGACCUCGGAUCAGGUAGGAAGACCCGCUGAACUUAAGC